GACGAACGCUGGCGGCGUGCCUAAUACAUGCAAGUCGAGCGGACUUAAAAAGCUUGCUUUUUAAGUUAGCGGCGGACGGGUGAGUAACACGUGGGCAACCUGCCUGUAAGACUGGGAUAACUUCGGGAAACCGGAGCUAAUACCGGAUAAUCCUUUUCUACUCAUGUAGAAAAGCUGAAAGACGGUUUACGCUGUCACUUACAGAUGGGCCCGCGGCGCAUUAGCUAGUUGGUGAGGUAACGGCUCACCAAGGCGACGAUGCGUAGCCGACCUGAGAGGGUGAUCGGCCACACUGAGACUGAGACACGGCCCAGACUCCUACGGGAGGCAGCAGUAGGGAAUCUUCCGCAAUGGACGAAAGUCUGACGAAGCAACGCCGCGUGAGUGAUGAAGGUUUUCGGAUCGUAAAACUCUGUUGUUAGGGAAGAACAAGUACGAGAGUAACUGCUCGUACCUUGACGGUACCUAACCAGAAAGCCACGGCUAACUACGUG
rnacentral:rRNA from 1 species